AGUGAACGCUGGCGGUAGGCCUAACACAUGCAAGUCGAACGGCAGCACAGUAAGAGCUUGCUCUUACGGGUGGCGAGUGGCGGACGGGUGAGGAAUACAUCGGAAUCUACUUUUUCGUGGGGGAUAACGUAGGGAAACUUACGCUAAUACCGCGUACGACCUACGGGUGAAAGCAGGGGAUCUUCGGACCUUGCGCGAUUGAAUGAGCCGAUGUCGGAUUAGCUAGUUGGCGGGGUAAAGACCCACCAAGGCGACGAUCCGUAGCUGGUCUGAGAGGAUGAUCAGCCACACUGGAACUGAGACACGGUCCAGACUCCUACGGGAGGCAGCAGUGGGGAAUAUUGGACAAUGGGCGCAAGCCUGAUCCAGCCAUACCGCGUGGGUGAAGAAGGCCUUCGGGUUGUAAAGCCCUUUUGUUGGGAAAGAAAAGCAGCAGGUUAAUACCCCGCUGUCCUGACGGUACCCAAAGAAUAAGCACCGGCUAACUUCGUG
rnacentral:rRNA from 1 species